GAUGAACGCUGGCGGCGUGCUUAACACAUGCAAGUCGAACGAUGAAGCCCAGCUUGCUGGGUGGAUUAGUGGCGAACGGGUGAGUAACACGUGAGUAACCUGCCCUUGACUCUGGGAUAAGCCUGGGAAACUGGGUCUAAUACUGGAUAUGACUUCUCAUCGCAUGGUGGGGGGUGGAAAGAUUUAUUGGUCUUGGAUGGACUCGCGGCCUAUCAGCUUGUCGGUGAGGUAAUGGCUCACCAAGGCGACGACGGGUAGCCGGCCUGAGAGGGUGACCGGCCACACUGGGACUGAGACACGGCCCAGACUCAUACGGGAGGCAGCAGUGGGGAAUAUUGCACAAUGGGCGCAAGCCUGAUGCAGCGACGCCGCGUGAGGGAUGACGGCCUUCGGGUUGUAAACCUCUUUCAGUAGGGAAGAAGCGAGAGUGACGGUACCUGCAGAAGAAGCGCCGGCUAACUACGU
rnacentral:rRNA from 1 species